AAUGAACGUUGGCGGCGUGGAUUAGGCAUGCAAGUCGCGCGAUAACCGUAGCAAUAUGGGGAAAGCGGCGAAAGGGAGAGUAACGCGUGGAUACCUACCCCUGGGACCGGGAUAGCCACGGGAAACUGUGGGUAAUACCGGAUGACGUCUUCGGACCAAAGGUGUGAUUCCGCCCGGGGAUGGGUCCGCGUCCUAUCAGCUUGUUGGUGAGGUAACGGCCCACCAAGGCAAUGACGGGUACGAGGCGUGAGAGCGUGUCCUCGCUCACUGGGACUGAGACACUGCCCAGACACCUACGGGAGGCAG
rnacentral:rRNA from 1 species